GAUCGGGAAGAUGGAGGCUCCUGAAGAGCUGUAGAAGCGCAUCCUAGGCAGAAGCCCAGCAGACAGCAAAGGGCCUGGUUUGUUCAAGGAACUGGAGGGCAAGAAAAUCAGGAGCCAAUUCAUGCAGGGCACAGUUAGCCAAGCCGGACUCACUCAGGAGGCCCUUCAUCUUCAUGUUCCCCACAUAGCAGAGGGGAGGGCAGAAGAUGAGAGGGAGGAGAGAGCAGAGCCAAGAGCCUCCUUUUCUCCCGCUGUGCCCCUCCUAUGUGUUGCUCUGGACACCAAGAACCACCCAAGGACAGUGGGACUCCUCGAAAAGAUAAUUGCUCAUGAGGGAUCCAAGAGCAAGGCUUGUUACAUCCUAUAACCUUCACACAAAAUAUUGACUGAGAAUCCUCCAUGUGCUAAGUACUGUUCAAAAACACUGGGAACCCAGCAGGGAUGAGCCACAAGUUUCCUUGUCUUUACAAAGCUUUCAUUCUGAGGGAGUGGAGAGAGACAAGCAAUAAACAACCAAUCAAAACAAA